AUUGAACGCUGGCGGCAGGCUUAACACAUGCAAGUCGAGCGAGUGGCGGACGGGUGAGUAAUGUAUGGGAACCUGCCCGAUAGAGGGGGAUAACUACUGGAAACGGUGGCUAAUACCGCAUACUAUCGGAUGAACCCAUAUGGGAUUAGCUAGUAGGUGGGGUAAAGGCUCACCUAGGCGACGAUCUCUAGCUGGUCUGAGAGGAUGAACAGCCACACUGGGACUGAGACACGGCCCAGACUCCUACGGGAGGCAGCAGUGGGGAAUAUUGCACAAUGGGCGCAAGCCUGAUGCAGCCAUGCCGCGUGUAUGAAGAAGGCCUUUGGGGUGUAAAGUACUUUCAGCGAGGAGGCGGUACCCGCAGAAGAAGCACCGGCUAACUCCGUGCCAGCAGCCGCGGUAAUUC
rnacentral:rRNA from 1 species